GACGAACGCUGGCGGCGUGCCUAAUACAUGAAAGUCGAACGCAGUGGGGACGGGUGAGUAACACGUGGGUAACCUCCCAUCAGAGGGGAUAACACUUGGCAACAGGUGCUAAACCGAUACUGAUGGAUGGAACAGCGGUGCAUUAGCUAGUUGGUGAGGUAACGGCUCAAAAAGGCCACGAUGCAGAGGCGACCUGAGAGGGUGAUCGACCACACGGGGAAAGAGACACGGCACAGAUUCAUGCGGGAGGCAGAAGUAGGGAAUCUGCGGCGAUGGACGAAAGUCUGACCGAGAAACGCCGCGUGAGUGAAGAAGGUUUUCGGAUCGUAAAACUCUGUUGUUAGAGAAGCGGUAUCUAACCAGAAAGCCACGGCUAACUACGUGCCAGCCGCAGCGGUAAUAC
rnacentral:rRNA from 1 species